UCACAAACUGCACUGAGCGGUACAGCAAAGUUAUUUCACUUCAUAGAUACCCUGCAAACAUCACUAUUCGUCGUAUUUGGCUUCAGAGAUCGAGAUUUGUGAGGAAAGACUUUGUUUAUACUGCAAAUAGCCAGAUUUGCUCCCAGCAUUUCAUCAAUUCUAAUGGAC